ACUCUAUUUAGUGAUUUUGCUAUCAUUUUUGGAUGCUUGUAUUCAUCAAUGGAUCCCAUUGCUGCCUCUAGAAGAAUGGCUUUCACUUCAAAGACUUCAGAAAAAUCAACUUCAAAGACACUGCUUUCCUUUAAGCAGCUUAGACGGAAAGUAUCAGGGCCAGCUUAAGACAACACAACCAUUGAUAGUGUGAGCUUUCCAAAUCAGAAAUUUAAUUGGCAGGUUUGGUUUCAAAUAUCUGUAUUAUUUGGAACAUAUUAAGAAAUGUGCUUAGUAGGGACCAACCUGCACCAAGGAGAACAACCUGUGCUUCGCCAUUGAAGGAAUUGAGAGCAGUCUCAAGUUUUUAAUCAAACCAGAGGUUUCGAAUGGCGAGAAGCACUCCUGAAAUAUCUUGUGCAUUUUUGAGGCAAUCAUUCUUUAUCUUCUCAUGAAAGUUUUUGAGGUAUGUCUCUCCUGCUAGUAAGUCUGCAAGUGGGUCAUGGAUCACAUGUCUCCACAAGGCUCUUCCAGCUGCUGUUUGGCGUGCUGACUGUAAUCCCAUUCACUUUGAAUUGUUGUGUGGAGCUCUUUAGCCGUUUCAUUAUAUAAUAAAUGUGGAAGCUUUAGCUCUAGCCAUUUCGGUUCU